GGCUCGGUGGUGGAUGGUCCACAUCUGCUCUGCAUAGGAGACGUGUGCCCGUAACAGCAGGAGGAGCCUGUUCGAAUCAGGCUCGAGCCA